AUGUCGAUUGGCCUUUCUGUGCAAAGAGUUCUUCUUGUGCAAACCUUUUGGGCUGCAUUGGAGAAUGCUUUGGGAAAGAAGAGCACCAAUCCUGAGGUUAGCCCACUGUUGCCACUGGCAGAGCCAGGAAAAAUGAGUGAGAAGGCUGAGCAAAUCAUAUGGUUUGUGGAUGACGCAAAUGUCUAUCGUGACCAAUCAAUGGUGCAAUCUUUAUUCGUUUCUUCUUUUUUGCGAAAGAGUGCAAUCUUUAUAUUCAAUCCAAGGACUGGUCAACUAUUCCUGAAUGUUUGUUCAUUUCCUUUUUGCUUUGCUUUUAGUUCUAGUUUUGUUUAA
rnacentral:rRNA from 1 species